GACGAACGCUGGCGGCGUGCUUAACACAUGCAAGUCGAACGAAGUGGCGAACGGGUGAGUAACGCGUAAUCAACCUGCCCUUAAGAGGGGGACAACAGUUGGAACCGACUGCUCAUACCACAUACUGAAGGAGGGGAUUGAGUCGUAUUAGCUAGUUGGAGGGGUAAAGGCCCACAAAGGCGAUGAUCAGUAGCCGGUCUGAUAGAAUGAACGGCCACAUUGGGACUGAGACACGGCCCCGACUCCUACGGGAGGAAGCAGUGGGGAAUCUUCCGCAAUGGACGAAAGUCUGACGGAGCAACGCCGCGUGAGUGAUGACGGCCUUCGGGUUGUAAAGCUCUGUUAAUCGGGACGCGGUACCGGAAUAGAAAGCCACGGCUAACUACGUGCCAGCAGCCGCGGUAAUAC
rnacentral:rRNA from 1 species